GACGAACGCUGGCGGCGCGCUUAACACAUGCAAGUCGAGCGAGAACCGGUCCUUCGGGACCGGGGAAAGCGGCGAACGGGUGAGUAACACGUGGGUAAUCUGCCCUCGGUUUCGGGAUAGCCCGGGGAAACCCGGAUUAAUACCGAAUGGCCCUUUCGGUCUUCGGAUUGAAAGGAAAAGGUAGCUUCGGCCUCCGACCGAGGAUGAGCCCGCGGCGGAUUAGCUUGUUGGUGGGUUAACGGCCUACCAAGGCGACGAUCCGUAGCUGGUCUGAGAGGACGAUCAGCCACACUGGGACUGAGACACGGCCCAGACUCCUACGGGAGGCAGCAGUGGGGAAUCUUGCGCAAUGGGCGAAAGCCUGACGCAGCGACGCCGCGUGCGGGAAGAAGGCCUUCGGGUUGUAAACCGCUUUCAGGUGGGACGAAGCCACUCGGGUGAAUAGCCCAGAGGGUGACGGUACCUCCAGAAGAAGUCCCGGCUAACUACGUGCCAGCAGCCGCCGUAA
rnacentral:rRNA from 1 species